rnacentral:lncRNA from 10 species
CACGGAUGCUGGCGAGUACCAGCAGCCAUGCUGAUAUCAGCAGGAAGCACCUGGUAACAAGCUGAAGUCUUAGAGCAGGAAUUUGGAGAUGGGGGGCUUGAGGGUACAGAUAAGAGGACCAGACUAGGGGACACCUAUCAACACCACUGCCAAGGACUGUCAUCACAACAGGGGAAGUGGAAGCAGAGCGAGAAGAGGACUAUUGCUAGCACAGUCCAAGCCUCGUCACUCCUGAAGGGAAGUAAGUGUUAUCAGCGAGAGGAGCCUGUGCAUCUGCAGGUGGGACACCUCUUUCUGCUAGCAAGAUCCCCGGGAACUAAAUUAUCAUCUGAAGGAAGGAGAAUCCUCUUGCCCCUGGAGCCUAUGGGGCCAUCACAGGUCCAGGAGGUAACCUCAUCUCCAUCACCCAAGUAUCAUGCAUGGAGCUGCGGCAAAACUGUCAAAGAUCACAAGAAAAUUACUCAGUCAAAUGUAUCUGAGCCACCUCUGGUUCCUCACUUUUGUGUACAAGACAAUUGAACUUCUGAUAUUUGGUUCUGGCCCACUCAUCACACCAGAGCCUUCAGGCGACCAUAACCCUGCCUCCCAGAGCUCAGAUCAAGCCAAAUAAGGAGCUCUACUCCUUUCCCAUAUAUCUGACCUAGCCCGCCACCGAAUUGCAUUUCUGCUAAAUACCAUGAUAGCACAGUGGGUCAGCACCCAAGUUCUGGAGCUACGCUGCCUGGGCUCAAAUUCUGGUUCUCAAUACUAAUAGGACCUCUAGCAAGUUACUCAACCUGUCCCUUGGCUUACUUUUCCCACGUGCAAAAUGGGGUUAGUAAAAACACCCAACAAAUAAAGUUGCAAGGACUCAGUGAAUUAGU